GUCAGUGUGGCGCAGUGGUUUGAGUUUUGGCCUACAACUCUGGAGACCAGGGUUCGAUUCCCUCACUUGGUCA